rnacentral:tRNA from 1 species
GGAGAGAUGGCCGAGUGGUUUAAGGCAGCAGUCUUGAAAACUGCCGUGGUAGUGAUACCACCGUGGGUUCGAAUCCCACUCUCUCCGCCA